rnacentral:rRNA from 1 species
AUUGAACUGAAGAGUUUGAUCCUGGCUCAGAUUGAACGCUGGCGGCAUGCCUUACACAUGCAAGUCGAACGGCAGCACGGGCUUCGGCCUGGUGGCGAGUGGCGAACGGGUGAGUAAUACAUCGGAACAUGUCCUGUAGUGGGGGAUAGCCCGGCGAAAGCCGGAUUAAUACCGCAUACGAUCUGAGGAUGAAAGCGGGGGACCUUCGGGCC